rnacentral:rRNA from 1 species
AUUGAACGCUGGCGGCGUGCCUAACACAUGCAAGUCGAGCGGUAACAGGUGUAGCAAUACAUGCUGACGAGCGGCGAACGGGUGAGUAAUGCUUCGGAAUCUACCUUAUGGUGGGGAAUAACUAGCCGAAAGGUUAGCUAAUACCGCAUACGUCCUACGGGAGAAAGCAGGGGAUCGUAAGACCUUGCGCCAAAAGAUGAGCCGAAGUCGGAUUAGCUAGUUGGUAGGGUAACGGCCUACCAAGGCGACGAUCCGUAGCUGGUCUGAGAGGACGACCAGCCACACUGGGACUGAGACACGGCCCAGACUCCUACGGGAGGCAGCAGUGGGGAAUAUUGGACAAUGGGGGAAACCCUGAUCCAGCGACGCCGCGUGUGUGAAGAAGGCCUGCGGGUUGUAAAGCACUUUAGUGGGGAUGAAAUGUGCAGGAUUAAUAC